GACGAACGCUGGCGGCGUGCCUAAUACAUGCAAGUCGAGCGAGCGGAACUAACAGAUUUACUUCGGUAGUGACGCUAGGAAAGCGAGCGGCGGAUGGGUGAGUAACCCGUGGUGAACCUGCCCCAUAGUCUGGGAUACCACUUGGAAACAGGUGCUAAUACCGGAUAAGAAAGCAGAUCGCAUGAUCAGCUUUUAAAAGGCGGCGUAAGCUGUCGCUAUGGGAUGGCCCGGCGGUGCAUUAGCUAGUUGGUAAGGUAAAGGCUUACUAAGGGGAUGAUGCACAGCCGAGGGGAGAGACGGAUCGGCGACAUUGGAACUGAGACACGGCCCAAACGCCUACGGGAGGCAGCAGUAGGGAACCGGACACAAUGGUCGCAAGUCUGACGGAGCAACGCCGCGUGAGAUAAGAAGGUGUUCGGAGCGUAAAGACCUGUUGUGGGUGAAGAAGGAUAGUGGUAGGAACUGGCGUGUAUGUGACGGUAAUCAACCAGAAAGUCACGGCUAACUACGUG
rnacentral:rRNA from 1 species